rnacentral:rRNA from 1 species
UAGGAGGCAGGAGAGGCAAGCGGUACUCAGUGGGUAGGGGUAAAAUCCGUUGAUCCAUUGAAGACCACCAGUGGCGAAGGCGGCUUGCCAGAAUGCGCUCGACGGUGAGGGAUGAAAGCUGGGGGAGCAAACCGGAUUAGAUACCCGGGUAGUCCCAGCCGUAAACGAUG